UACGAAGGGGGGCUAGCGUUGUUCGGAAUUACUGGGCGUAAAGCGCACGUAGGCGGAUUGUUAAGUUAGGGGUGAAAUCCCAGGGCUCAACCCUGGAACUGCCUUUAAUACUGGCAAUCUCGAGUCCGAGAGAGGUGAGUGGAAUUCCGAGUGUAGAGGUGAAAUUCGUAGAUAUUCGGAGGAACACCAGUGGCGAAGGCGGCUCACUGGCUCGGUACUGACGCUGAGGUGCGAAAGCUAGGGGAGCAAACGGGG
rnacentral:rRNA from 1 species